rnacentral:lncRNA from 1 species
UGGCCUGGGACAGGGACUUAAUUUUCCUUUCAUAUAAAAACUGAUCUCCCCUCCUCCCAUAAAUAUUUUUACUUCAAGGACUAGGACCAGUUUGUUUUGGGCCCUUAUGUGAAAAUUUGUCUCGUUUAAGAGGCAUCUUUACCAUAUGUAUGAAUUUGUGUAAUUUCAACUCGGAUAGGGAUAAACUUUUGCUUCUGAUAAAAGCUGGGAAUUUCAUCUGUUCCUCAGAGCACCGUGUGCAUGUUUUGCCAUGGCCCUGAAAAGGUCUUGUGAAAAGAUUCUGGGAUGGCAAGUUGUUUGCCUUUUCUGAAAAGAGAACAUACAAAGCCUGACCAUCUUUAAGACCUUCAUCCGUGGAAACCACUAUGCAGGAGGAUGCAAUGGGGUAUGGGGAUGGCAGGCACAGGAGUGGGAGGCCUGCUCCAUAGCAAGGCCAAGUGUACUCAAGCUCUGUACAGACAGACUCUGACUGCUUCUGCUCCUCGCCUAGUGAACAUCACCUGGGAUAGUCGAACACCUCGGCGGCAGCUGUGGGUCAGCUGGGCCUGUGCAAGAGGUGCUGUGGUGGGCAGCUCGGCAUCUGUGCCUGGACAAGGCUGGAGUUGCUCUCAGAGCAGUUUGGUAUUGGAAGAUUAUAUUUGGUUUCUAUUUUUAUUAUUUUGCAUCACCAUUCUCCCUAUCCUUUCUUGCCUCUCUCCCUCCUAAAUGUGUACAAUAACUAUACAGAGACUGCUACAAACUUGUAAAUAGUUUUUGGAUCAAAUAGCAUAAGGAGAUAGGAACCAUUAAAAUGUGAGACUCCUCUCCUUUGCUUUGUAAAUUCAAAAGGGGGGGUGGGGAAGAGGGAUAGUUAAAAUGUUUACAAAACUUUAAGCUCCCUCGGAACUUUUGCCAGUGUGG